rnacentral:rRNA from 1 species
GAUGAACGCUAGCUACAGGCUUAACACAUGCAAGUCGAGGGGCAGCAUGGAAGAAGCUUGCUUCUUCUGAUGGCGACCGGCGCACGGGUGCGUAACGCGUAUCAAACCUGCCUCAUACUCGGGGAUAGCCUUGCGAAAGUAAGAUUAAUACCCGAUGUUGUUAUGUUUCCGCAUGGUGAUAUAACCAAAGAUUUAUCGGUAUGAGAUGGUGAUGCGUCCGAUUAGGUAGUAGGCGGGGUAACGGCCCACCUAGCCAUCGAUCGGUAGGGGUUCUGAGAGGAAGGUCCCCCACACUGGAACUGAGACACGGUCCAGACUCCUACGGGAGGCAGCAGUGAGGAAUAUUGGUCAAUGGACGGAAGUCUGAACCAGCCAAGUAGCGUGCAGGAUGACGGCCCUCCGGGUUGUAAACUGCUUUUAGUUGGGAAUAAAAAGAGGGACGUGUCCCUAAUUGUAUGUACCUUCAGAAAAAGGACCGGCUAAUUCCGUGCCAGCAGCCGCGGUAAUACGGAAGGUCCAGGCGUUAUCCGGAUUUAUUGGGUUUAAAGGGAGCGUAGGCGGAUUAUUAAGUCAGUGGUGAAAAGACGGUGGCUCAACCAUCGUUAGCCAUUGAAACUGGUAGUCUUGAGUGCAGACGGGGAUGCUGGAACUCGUGGUGUAGCGGUGAAAUGCUUAUAUAUCACGAUGAGAUUCGAUCGCGACGCAUGUGUCUGGUCUGCCACUGACGCUGAUGCUCUUAAGUGUGGUAUCAACAGG